GGAGUUGUGGCCUACUGGUUAGGGCUUUGAGCUUGUAACCGGAGGGUUGCCGGUUCGAUCCCCGACCAGUUGGA
rnacentral:tRNA from 1 species